GAUGAACGCUGGCGGCGUGCCUAAUACAUGCAAGUCGAGCGAACGGACGAGAAGCUUGCUUCUCUGAUGUUAGCGGCGGACGGGUGAGUAACACGUGGAUAACCUACCUAUAAGACUGGGAUAAAUUCGGGAAACCGGAGCUAAUACCGGAUGAUAUUUUGAACCGCAUGGUUCAAAAGUGAAAGACGGUCUUGCUGUCACUUAUAGAUGGAUCCGCGCUGCAUUAGCUAGUUGGUAAGGUAACGGCUUACCAAGGCAACGAUGCAUAGCCGACCUGAGAGGGUGAUCGGCCACACUGGAACUGAGACACGGUCCAGACUCCUACGCGAGGCAGCAGUAGGGAAUCUUCCGCAAUGGGCGAAAGCCUGACGGAGCAACGCCGCGUGAGUGAUGAAGGUGUUCGGAUCGUAAAGCUCUGUUAUUAGGGAAGAACAUAUGUGUAAGUAACUGUGCACAUCUUGACGGUACCUAAUCAGAAAGCCACGGCUAACUACGUG
rnacentral:rRNA from 1 species